AAGUUUCUCAGGGACUGACUUUUGUUCAACAUCCUGACAAAGAAGGAAAUGUUCGAUUUGCACUGCGGGCACUAGGAGAUAAUGUAGAAAAUGUGAAAGAUGAGGUUGCUAUGAUCCGUUCAUUCCUGAAGCGAAAAUUCCCCCAAGAGGAUUUGAGAAAUGAAUAUGUAACCGCAGGAAGUGAUGAAGUUCGUAUCUAAACCACAUCUCUUUCUGCAAAGAUCCAUGUAUGAGUAUUAAUAUACUAUUAUCAUGUUCUUGUUUCAGGUUGAUCUCAAUGAAAGAGUUUUUGGGAGUUACCUCUUGAAUGAAUCACAUAACGAAGUUGAAGAACACGCUCCAUUGAGUGUUAUGCAGGAACUACAUCCUAGCAAUUGUGCGAGAGCUAAAGAGUGUCACCCCGGUUUAUUGUUACCACAUGAACAAGUGGCUGCUAAGAAAGCACACACUGAAAACUUUGAUAGGGCAAUUCAAGGAAGUGUAGGAUCAACUUUACCAGAUAAGCAUACCACUACCCAGGAAUUGGAUCCUAGUUUUUCUGCAAGAACCAAAGAGGAUUACAUUGGUUUAUCUUUACCACACAUGGUUGCUAUGGUGUGUACAUAAAUGUUUGCUUCAUUAUCAAACAAUGCUUAUAGUUAUGUAUGUUUAUGUCAUACUGAACUGAACCUCAACUAUAGAAAGCAAGCAUUGAAAAGUUUGAUAAGGCCAAUCAAGGCCAUGUAGAAUCAACCAAAGAGGGUUACACCAAUCAAGUGUAGAAUCAACUUUGCCAGAUAAGCAGAUCACUACCCAAGCAUUGCAUCCUAGCUUUUCUUUGAGAACCAAAGAGGAUAACACUGGUUCAUCUUUACCACACAUGAAAGCACACAUUGAAAAAAUUGAUAGGGUCAAACAAGGCUGUGCGGCAUCAACUUUACCAGACAAGACUAAUCAGGAAUUGCAUCCUAGCAAUUGUGCAAGAACCAAUGAGGGUUGCACCAGUUUAUCU